GACCUCCCGGGAUCGCGUCUGGAGUGUGGCCAGUCUUCUGCCAGCUUCGGAAGCGGGAGGGAAAACAGGGCCGCACAGGCACCGUUCCAUUCCCAGUUUGCUCAGUAGCUGGUGAUUAGAAGACCCUCUGCAACGGUU
ensembl:snoRNA